rnacentral:rRNA from 1 species
CCCGCUGAACUUAAGCAUAUCAAUAAGCGGAGGAAAAGAAACUAACAAGGAUUCCCCUAGUAACGGCGAGUGAAGAGGGAAGAGCUCAAAUUUUGAAUCUGGCACCUUUGGUGUCCGAAUUGUAAUCUAGAGAAGUGUUUUCUGUGAUGGACCAUGCAUAAGUCUCCUGGAAUGGAGCGUCAUAGAGGGUGAGAAUCCCGUAUAUGGCAUGGACUCCCGUUGCUCUGUGAUACACUCUCGACGAGUCGAGUUGUUUGGGAAUGCAGCUCCAAAUGGGUGGUAAAUGCCAUCUAAAGCUAAGUAUUGGCGAGAGACCGAUAGUGAACAAGUACCGUGAGGGAAAGAUGAAAAGCACUUUGGAAAGAGAGUGAAACAGUACGUGAAAUUGUUGAAAGGGAAACGCUUAAAGUCAGUCACACCGUUCGGGAUUCAGCCUUGCUUCUGCUCGGUUUACUUCCUGUUGGGUGGGUCAACAUCAGUUUUGGUCAAAGGAGAAAUGCUUGGGGAAUGUAGCAGCAUUCGUGCUGUGUUAUAGCCCCUUGUUGUAUACUUUGACUGGGACUGAGGACCGCAGCACGCCUUUGGCCGGGGUUCGCCCACGUACGCGCUUAGGAUGUUGGCAUAAUGGUUUUAAGCGACCCGUCUUGAAACACGG